rnacentral:rRNA from 1 species
CUACGGGUGGCACCAGUGGGGAAUAUUGGACAAUGGGGGAAACCCUGAUCCAGCAAUGCCGCGUGUGUGAAGAAGGCCUGCGGGUUGUAAAGCACUUUCGGUUGGGAGGACUGCUUCUAGCACUAAUAUUGUUGGAAGUUGACGUUACCUUCAGAAGAAGCACCGGCUAACUCCGUGCCAGCAGCCGCGGUAAUACGGAGGGUGCAGGCGUUAAUCGGAAUUACUGGGCGUAAAGCGCGCGUAGGCGGCUAGAUUAGUCGGGUGUGAAAGCCCCGGGCUUAACCUGGGAACUGCAUCCGAUACUGUCUAGCUUGAGUACAGGAGAGGAGAGUGGAAUUCCACAUGUAGCGGUGAAAUGCGUAGAUAUGUGGAGGAACACCAAUGGCGAAGGCAGCUCUCUGGCCUGAUACUGACGCUGAGGUGCGAAAGCGUGGGGAGCAAACAGGAUUAGAUACCCGCGUAGUC